rnacentral:rRNA from 1 species
AACGAACGCUGGCGGCAGGCCUAACACAUGCAAGUCGAACGCUGUAGCAAUACAGAGUGGCAGACGGGUGAGUAACGCGUGGGAACCUACCCUUUGGUUCGGAAUAGCUCAGGGAAACUUGAGGUAAUACCGGAUAAGCCCUUCGGGGGAAAGAUUUAUCGCCAAAGGAUGGGCCCGCGUCGGAUUAGCUAGUUGGUGGGGUAACGGCCUACCAAGGCGACGAUCCGUAGCUGGUCUGAGAGGAUGAUCAGCCACACUGGGACUGAGACACGGCCCAGACUCCUACGGGAGGCAGCAGUGGGGAAUAUUGGACAAUGGGGGCAACCCUGAUCCAGCCAUGCCGCGUGAGUGACGAAGGUCUUCGGAUUGUAAAGCUCUUUUGGCGGGGAAGAUAAUGACGGUACCCGCAGAAUAAGCCCCGGCUAACUUCGUGCCAGCCGCCGCCGUAAUAC